rnacentral:rRNA from 1 species
AGCAUAUCAAUAAGCGGAGGAAAAGAAACCAACAGGGAUUGCCUUAGUAACUGCGAGUGAAGCGGCAAAAGCUCAAAUUUGAAAUCUGGCGUCUUUGACGUCCGAGUUGUAAUUUGGAGGGGCAUCUUCGGAGUUGGCACCGUCCUAAGUUCCUUGGAACAGGACGUCAUAGAGGGUGAGAAUCCCGUGCCUGGGUGGCUGUCCAUCUCCAUGUGAAGUGUCUCCGACGAGUCGAGUUGUUUGGGAAUGCAGCUCAAAAUGGGUGGUAAAUUUCAUCUAAAGCUAAAUAUUGGCGAGAGACCGAUAGCGCACAAGUAGAGUGAUCGAAAGAUGAAAAGCACUUUGAAAAGAGAGUUAAAAAGUACGUGAAAUUGUUGAAAGGGAAGCGCUUGAGACCAGACUCAACCUUUGGUGAUCAGCUGUACUUCUGUGCAGUGCACUUGCCAUUGGUUGGGCCAGCACCGGUUCUGACGGUGGGAUAAAAGCUUGAGGAAUGUGGCUCCCUUCGGGGAGUGUUAUAGCCUCAGGUAUAAUGCUGCCAGUCGGGACCGAGGACCGCGCUUCGGCUAGGAUGCUGGCGUAAUGGUCUUAAGCGACCCGUCU